GGAAUGUUCAUGAAGCAACGCAGGGUACAUGUGCAGGACGUGCAGGUUUGUUACAUAGGUAAACGUGUGCCAUGGUGGUUUGCUACACAGAUCAUCCCAUUACCCAGUGAAAUAGGGAAAUGAGAAGCAAGGUCUUCAACUGACAGUGAAGAUGAAAGAAGAGAUAUUGGAUGUUUGAAAAGAGAGAAGGUCACCAUCUAGAAGAAUGGAAGAGCAAGUGAACUAAGGAGAUAUAAUUGGGUUGCUGGGUAGUGCCAAGGAUCCACUUAGUACUAAUAGUCAUGAAUUUAGAGUGAUGCUCGUUAAUGUUUGUAUUUUUACUUUUCUCCAACACAUUAAAUUGCACCAGUGCCACCAUGGAGUUUGUGGAGAGUUGGACUGAACCAGCAUUGGGAUUUUGCCGGGUGAGUAAAAUGUAGCAAGAGAGGAGCAAAUGAGUUGAGUGUAUGGAAGUAAAUUACCAUGAUGACUGACCAUGGUAUUUAAGCCAAGUAAGGAGGGAGGCAAAGACUUAAAAUGUUGAGGAACAUGAAAAGGCUAGGAUCAACGGAUUUGGAUACUGAUUUAUUAGAAGAAUUAUUUGAGUUGGUGCUCCAGACUGAGUGAACAAGAGAGUUAGAAAAAUAAUUAUGGAAGAGUGAGGUGCUUGAAACUGAGAUUAUGGAGAGGCUACAAUUAUUGAUCAUGACAAAGUCUAGGUUGUGGCAAUAGUAGUCAGUAGCUGAGGUAAGAUGGAGAACAUGUUCAUUGAAAGAAAGGAGAUCCUGGAACUGAGUGCCCAGGAUUGUUGAAAAGGUCAUCCACAGAGAAUACUAAAAUAGCCAAGAAUUCUCAGAAAUAGUGUUGGAGUGAUAGCGAGCCACCCCUCAGCUACACUGGAUCUCCACGGGUCAUUCCCAACAGCAUGGGAAAACAGCAAUUCCUCCCACCUCAGAAAACUCUCCUGUGAUCUUAUAUCCCUGUCUAAUUACUGCCUCAUUUUUUUGCUACAGUUUAGAAUAAAACUUGAAAGGCAAUACUCUGUGUCAAAUACUUCUCCUUCCAUUCUAAUUUGAACCCUCCCCAAAUGGACUUUCAACCCAGCACCCCGCUAUAGAAAGAGACUCCAGACAUAGCAUCUAUAAAAUCAACCAACCUAGAAGCUUGACGGGGUAAUACAUGCACAAUACAAUUGGGCUGAUGCAGGAUGGUGUUAUAGACAAAUAACUUAAUUGAAUCAAAUCUGCUUUUUCCCUCCUGACUAGUUGAUAUAAAAUGAUCUGAUCAAUCUGUUUGUCUUUUCUAUUUCUAUUACUUUCAGGAUGAAAAUAGCAAUAACUCACUAGUGUUUACUUUUAACUCGAUCAUGAAUAUGUGGGCAAAAGAGUUUAUAUAUUAUUAUAUUGUAUUAAAAUAAUAUCCACUGUUUUCUUUCAAAAACACUUGGCUAAAUUAUUGUCGUACUUGUGAACAAAUGAAUAUUAAUUUUAACAUGAAAACAUACAAAAUUUUUUAUAAAUCUUCUUUGUUAAAUAUGAGAAAAUGAUCCUCUCAUUCAGGAGGGGUGGUAUUGUAAAUCGUAACAUUUGCACUGAUUAAACAUUUGCUGGUUCUAAGUAAUUCUGCAUGAUGAUUCAGAUGUGCCUUCUC